GUGUGGGGCAGGUGAUGGGAGCAAGUGGAGCUGGGAGGCCAGGGCAAGAGUGGACCACUGAACUGCAGGAGGAGGGUCACCAUUGUUACAAAGAGAAGAUGACUAAUGUUUGGAGAUCUUACUGAUGGAGUGUGUUGUGAGGAGACAUAGCAGACAGGGCUCCAUAGAAUCCUUUCUCUGAGCGACAGAUGAAGAGAUUGCUACAAGAAAAGAGGAGCUAGAGAUAAUAACAAAUUUCCUGAGGGACUGUCCAGUUUGGCCGAUGUACAUAGCAGAGGGG